rnacentral:rRNA from 1 species
UAGAGUUUGAUCCUGGCUCAGGACGAACGCUGGCGGCGUGCCUAAUACAUGCAAGUAGAACGCUGAAGAGAGGAGCUUGCUCUUCUUGGAUGAGUUGCGAACGGGUGAGUAACGCGUAGGUAACCUGCCUGGUAGCGGGGGAUAACUAUUGGAAACGAUAGCUAAUACCGCAUAAAAUGGAUUAUCGCAUGAUAAUUCAUUGAAAGGUGCAAAUGCAUCACUACCAGAUGGACCUGCGUUGUAUUAGCUAGUUGGUGGGGUAACGGCUCACCAAGGCAACGAUACAUAGCCGACCUGAGAGGAAGGUCCCCCACAUUGGAACUGAGACACGGUCCAAACUCCUACGGGAGGCAGCAGUGAGGAAUAUUGGUCAAUGGACGGAAGUCUGAACCAGCCAAGUAGCGCGCAGGAUGACGGCCCUAUGGGUUGUAAACUGCUUUUGUAUGGGGAUAAAGUCAAUCACGUGUGAUUGUUUGCAGGUACCAUACGAAUAAGGACCGGCUAAUUCCGUGCCAGCAGCCGCGGUAAUACGGAAGGUCCAGGCGUUAUCCGGAUUUAUUGGGUUUAAGGGGAGCGUAGGCUGGAUAUUAAGUGUGUUGUGAAAUGUAGACGCUCAACGUCUGACUUGCAGCGCAUACUGGUUUCCUUGAGUACGCACAACGUUGGCGGAAUUCGUCGUGUAGCGGUGAAAUGCUUAGAUAUGACGAAGAACUCCGAUUGCGAAGGCAGCUGACGGGAGCGCAACUGACGCUUAAGCUCGAAGGUGCGGGUAUCAAAGCAGGAUUAGAUACCCUGGUAGUCCGCACAGUAAACGAUGGAUGCCCGCUGUUGGUACCUGGUAUCAGCGGCUAAGCGAAAGCAUUAAGCAUCCCACCUGGGGAGUACGCCGGCAACGGUGAAACUCAAAGGAAUUGACGGGGGCCCGCACAAGCGGAGGAACAUGUGGUUUAAUUCGAUGAUACGCGAGGAACCUUACCCGGGCUUGAAUUGCAGAGGAAGGAUUUAGAGAUAAUGACGCCCUUCGGGGUCUCUGUGAAGGUGCUGCAUGGUUGUCGUCAGCUCGUGCCGUGAGGUGUCGGCUUAAGUGCCAUAACGAGCGCAACCCCUCUCUUCAGUUGCCAUCAGGUGAUGCUGGGCACUCUGGAGACACUGCCACCGUAAGGUGUGAGGAAGGUGGGGAUGACGUCAAAUCAGCACGGCCCUUACGUCCGGGGCUACACACGUGUUACAAUGGCCGGUACAGAGGGAUGGUGUAAUGCAAAUUGCAUCAAAUCUUGAAAGCCGGUCCCAGUUCGGACUGGGGUCUGCAACCCGACCCCACGAAGCUGGAUUCGCUAGUAAUCGCGCAUCAGCCAUGGCGCGGUGAAUAAGUUCCCGGGCCUUGCACACACCGCCCGUCAAG